UUGGGUCUGGAACAACAACAAUAUCUGUUAAAGUGCAGGUGUCUUGGCAUUUAGCCACCAAUGCCAUGAGGUGGUGUGCCUCAGUUUCCCCUUCUACACAGCAGCAUGGGCCUGUUAUGCUUUUGCUGCUGUGCCAAGCUUCCAGCCUGUUUACAGAUAUAAACUGCAGGGUAACAUCCUUGCGGGACUGUCUUGUCACCAUCCCUAGCAUGUACAACAAUUUCUUCCACAAAUGUCCCACACCUUUAAAGGGUUUACCACUAGCAUUAACACCUUUGUUUUAACCCAUAUAUGAAUUAGCAAAAGACACAAGAUUAACAGCAAAUUUACGGUGGACAGGCUUUGUUCACAUGAUUUAGCUUGUGUCUACUGCAUUUUCCCAUUUCUUUGUAUCCCCUGGUAGGCACUCUGAUGCAGAUUCUUCUGUCUCUUUGGAGAAGGCUUUUAAUUCAGGCAUGUGUUUGAGGCUUUGGCAAGGAAAGGGUGUACUGCAACCAUGCCUGCCCUUGGCCCCUCCCUCUGGAAUUUCUCUGCCCUGGUCCCCACUCCCAUGUGAAGCUUCACCCAUGCAGAGAUUUUUUCCUCCUGCCUUGAAGAGACAGUUUUAUCUCUUACAAGCAUAGCAAGAACAUCUUUCAAUGGGGUGCUUUGGAUUGUUCCCUUGAGCUUUCUGGAGUAUCCGAGACUUACCUCCUCUCCUUAACUCUGCUCCACCCUCAUCCAUCGUGGUCCAAAGGUAGGUGAUAUCACCAGAUACUAAAGUCAUUAGAGUACAAUGAAAAGCAGUACGGUUGAUACUGAGUCACUGUUGAGGCGGUGAUGGAUGCCUGCUGCCACUGCAGUCUUUCCCAGCUGCACAAUCUCUCACCUCAUAGGGACAAGGGUUUGAUUGGCUCUUCCAAAGGAAAUAGGUGGCACUUCAGUUCCAAAAAGGAGGGGGGCUGAGGCUUUGCAGAGAGCCUACUGCUCUGUGCAGUACUGCUGCUUUUUUUUGGCUGGGCCCUGUUUCACUGGGGGAGGCAAGGGAGAGAGCUUGCCAUCCUCGCUAUCACCUGGGGCCCUAGGCCCAGGAAAUGUGCACCCAAGUAGUGAUAUAGAAUAAAGCAGGUAGCAGAGAUUCAGAAUUCUGUAUCACUGAUUUGAGUGUGAAAAUUAAUUGAGUAGGGCCUGUGUGCUGCCGGAUUAGAAAUUGGGGUUGCUCAGCACCUUGCAGGAUUGGGCCCUGAAUUGGCAUGUACUGUGUGUCAGAUUAUCAAGAACUAAAUGAAUUUGCAGAGCAAAUGACAUUCUGCUGUGGUGCUGUCCAGGCUUCACAGGUGACUGAUAUACAUGAGCACAGAACAACAAUUUUCUCUCCCUUUCUCAUCCCAAGGUUUUCAACCAUCAGAAAUCUGGAAAAGCAAUUGGAUGACAAAGAGAGAAAAUUAUGUUUUUCUUUGCUCAUGUGCAUCAGUCACCGGUGAAACCUGGACACUAGCCAAGCCUUAUCCCACCAAUCUUAGGCGUCAAAACUAUUUCUGAAGAUGAAGGCUGCUUCUGAUGUGAAUGGAACCUCUCUCCCACUGAUUGCAAGAGGAGCUUUUUUCCCUUCUCAUUUAAAAACAAACAACCCUUUAUUUAAAGUAUUUUCACAGCUAGAUAGAUCAGGUGUUAAAAUAUUACAAGUUACCAAAAGGCCUUUUUCUACUUUGCUGACUAAACUGUCUGCAUAACAAACAAAACACACACAAUGUAGUAAAAAUCUGAAACCAGUGAAAAACUAUUUCUGAUUAUCAUUAACUAUCCAUCCACACUCAAGCUCCACCGUGUGCAUGGUCUUCAUCUCCCACUGACUUCCCCUGAAACAAGCCAGUCUCUUCACUUUGCACAUGCCACAUCUCAUCCCUGAGAAGAAUUUUUUUCUGGGAACUCUGGAAAAUAUCACAGGAAGAAGAAUUUAAAAGAUACGCUGCUAGAUCUUUGCUCCCAUUCAGGCAGCACAAAGCAGCCAGGAUGCCAGUAAAUCCAGUCCCUGAAGAUGCCCAUGCACAGGGAAGUCUGUGGGGUGUGUAGAGCUGUCACCACAACUCCUAUGCAACCCCUCUCCCAACCCCACCUUCAGUAUAGGGGGAAAUGUCCAGGAGAAAGGGAUGUGGCCAGGGUGCCCCUGCAGUUGGCUGAUCCCUAGCUCCAAGUAUUGCCCCUUGUAGCCAUAGAUAGCUGGGUAUAAGGCCAGGUUUACACUAGAAGCUUUUGUAACUAUAGCAAUGUUAGCUAAAAGUGGGAUGGAUUUAUUUAUUUUGGGUGACAUUUCUGUGCUGGCAAAAGCCCUAGUGUAGAUGCAGUUGUACUGAGACAGAGGACAUGUCUAAAUUAGGAGGUUAUAGCUAUAUCAGCAAAACUUUUAAGUGUAGGUUAAGUCCAAGUUAGAGUAGCUCUAAGUCUACUCUAGUGCUAGCCCUGAAUUUGCCCAGACCUGGGGGUUGUGGUCAUUCUGCUCCUGUGCCAAGUGUGGCUUGGUUUGAUCAAAGUGAUAAAGAUUUCCAAAAUUUCCUUGUCCUUCUCUUGGGAGUGAGUGUGGUUUUGAGGUCAAUGGAACUGCAUAUGAGUAAAAGUUUGCAGGAUGGAGCCCCACCUAUCUAUGCUUCUGUGGAGAGAGAUCAAAGGGAACUUGGUAUGUACAUAUUAGAGAAAAAAAAUGAGUAUGCUGCAGUGGUGGGCUCAAGCCACACAGUUUAGAGCCAAAUUUGUCUAAAGUCUGAGUGGUAGUUCAGGCCCAUCUCUGAUAAACUGGGUAUUCUAACUCCAGUAUCUAUAAAAAUGAUCAGAGGGGGAACAGAAUACAAGAUGAGGGAUGCUACUGAGUGUGAUUGAGGAUGAUGCAACAAGUAAUGGCUAAGAGUAUCAGUUCCAAGAAUUGGAGCAUGCUCACAAACCUGACAUACUGGUAAUCCCUUGGGGGAUGUGACCUGCAGGCUGAGAAGAACUGGGCUAGAGAAGCACAGAAGAUCCUUUCUAAUAUUAUCAACUAAUUGUGUAUGUGUAUGUAGUUCUGUACAUGGAAAAGUGAACUUAACAGAUUUAAACUAUUCUAAAAUUAACUUCCUUCCCAAAGCAAAUGUGUCUGCCUGGAAUUUCCUCCAACCUGGUAAGUGUCAGUGGCUGAAGUUUUCAAAUCACUGAGACAUCAAACCCUUAUAACUAGAGUGGCUUAUAAUAGGCUGCCACCAUACAUUCUUUUUAAAUAUACAAUAGUGCUGUUAAACUGGCAUUAAGAUUGUGAGCCCAGCUUUUAAACAUGAGCUCCUUAAUAGGAUAUGCACAUUUUGGGUCUCAACUUAUCACUUACUUGUGUCAAUGAGCAUUUUCCUCCCCCUAAGUUCUGAGUUGCACAUCUACAUAUGGCAUUUAGAUGUCCUAUUAAAUAGCCCAUGUUUGAAAAUUGGGCUGCCUAUGUUAAAAUGUGUUGGUAUUUAUUGUAUAAAGAGAUUCGUAACCAUCUGAUUCACUGCAAUAAAAGUUUAAAAAAAUAAGUCUCUUUAGGAAAAGCUAGUUUAAUAUUGAAUAAGUGAAAGAACAUUAAGGCUAUGUUCUUUGGAGCGGAUUCCCAAUUUGAGUAGACUUACUUGUGCUAGUUUGAUAACAGCUAGCAUUCUGUAGCCAUGGUAGCACAGCAAGCCCAUGUGCCUAUAGCCACUGCCUGUGCUGAGUACAAACCCACCCAAUCCCACGGGUAUGUACUCAUGGUGGCUAGCCUUGGCUGCCACUUGCCGCUGCCCAUGCUACUGUGGCUACACUACUAAUUUUCGUUGGCUAGCUCAAUGAGAGCUAGUUGCAAGUAUAACUACUUCUAUGAAUCUCACACCCAGCUCAAGUGUAGAUGUAGUCUAAAACAAUAUUUAAUAGGCAGCUGCUGUAAGAGAGAUUUGAUUGCUUUUUAUCUGCGUUAUCAUAAUGUGUACAGUUAGGGAAUGAAAAAAUAUUUGCUAUUUUUCAAGGAACUUCAUGUUAAUUACCAUAGGAACCUUUUCAGGUAACUAGUCUCGGAACUUGAAAAGUGCAUUCAGUGCAAAAAGAUGGGAUUCUACAUUAAGACUGGAAAAGGUUUGAGACAGAGCAGUUCAUGCAUGAAAAGGCUAAACCUCUUACUGCCUUUCUCAGCUUUAUUUGUUGUCCUCUUGAAUUUCCUGGCGGAAAUUAAUUCCUGUCAUUUCUAUUUCAGCAAUUUGUAAAAGCCAAGUCCAUCAUAUGCAGCUUGAGAAUACAGACAGAUGGGUACGAAGAUGGGAAAGAUGGGCUUAGAGUGACAACUAGUGUUCAAUUUUCUUUCUUACCAGCUUAAUAGAAAAAACAGAAAACAAGAGACAAGGUGGGUGAGG